CGUGAUUCUCCGGAAAAUAAGCCCUUUUCCGGAGGAUCUCUUAUUCUUACUUUCAAGAAAAAGAAAGUAAAGUAAGAAUAAGAGAUCCUCCGGAAAAGGGCUUAUUUUCCGGAGAAUCACG
rnacentral:pre_miRNA from 1 species